ensembl:snRNA U5 U5 spliceosomal RNA
CACUUAUGUUUGUCUUCAAAUUGUAUAAAUCUUUCGCCUUUUACUAAAAACUUCUGUGGAGAGGAACAACAUGAGUUUCACCUAAUUUUUAAUACCCUGUCUAUAUUAGACAGGGU